GAUGAACGCUGGCGGCAUGCCUAACACAUGCCAGUCGAUCGGUAAGGCUCUUCGGAGUACACGAGAGGCGGACGGCUGAGUAACGCGUAGGAACACACCCUGCAGUGAGGGAUAAGACACCGAAAGGUGUUCUAAUACCGCAUACGGUCUUCGGAUUAAAGCAUUUAUGCGCUGAAGGAGUGGCCUGCGUCAUAUUAGAUAGUUGGUGAGGUAAUGGCUCACCAAGUCGAUGAUGUGUAGCUGGUCUGAGAGGAUGAUCAGCCAGACUGGAACUGAGACACGGUCCAGACUCCUACGGGAGGCAGCAGUGAGGAAUAUUUCACAAUGAGCGAAAGCUUGAUGGAGCAAUGCCGCGUGAAGGAUGAAGGCACUCGGGUUGUAAACUGCUUUUAUGAGAGAAGAUUAUGACGGUAACUUAUGAAUAAGGGACGGCUAACUACGUG
rnacentral:rRNA from 1 species